rnacentral:tRNA from 1 species
GCCUAGUUAGCUUAGUUGGUAGUGGUAGUGCGUCUGCCUUGUAAGCGCUAGGCCGCGGGUUCGAUUCCCGCCCGGGGCG